rnacentral:rRNA from 1 species
CCUGACUGCUAUCAGAUUGAUACUAAGCCAUGCGAGUCAUUGUAGUAAUACAAGGCAGACGGCUCAGUAACGCGUAGUCAACCUAACCUAUGGACGGGAAUAACCUCGGGAAACUGAGUAUAAUGCCCGAUAGAACAUUAUGCCUGGAAUGGUUUAUGUUCCAAAUGAUUUAUCGCCGUAGGAUGGGACUGCGGCCUAUCAGUUUGUUGGUGAGGUAAUGGCCCACCAAGACUAUUACAGGUACGGGCUCUGAGAGGAGUGGCCCGGAGAUGGGUACUGAGACACGGACCCAGGCCCUAUGGGGCGCAGCAGGCGAGAAAACUUUGCAAUGUGCGAAAGCACGACAAGGUUAAUCCGAGUAGUUUCUGCUAAAGGAACCUUUUGUCGGUCCUAGAAACACCGAUGAAUAAGGGGUGGGCAAGUUCUGGUGUCAGCCGCCGCGGUAAAACCAGCACCUCAAGUGGUCAGGAUGAUUAUUGGGCCUAAAGCAUCCGUAGCCGGCUUUGUUAGUUUUCGGUUAAAUUUGUAUGCUUAACGUACAGGCUGCCGGGAAUACUGCAGAGCUAGGGAGUGGGAGAGGUAGACGGUACUCGGUAGGAAGGGGUAAAAUCCUUUGAUCUAUUGAUGACCACCUGUGGCGAAGGCGGUCUACCAGAACACGUCCGACGGUGAGGGAUGAAAGCUGGGGGAGCAAACCGGAUUAGAUACCCGGGUAGUCCCAGCUGUAAACUAUGCAAACUCAGUGAUGCAUUGGCUUGUGGCCAAUGCAGUGCUGCAGGGAAGCCGUUAAGUUUGCCGCCUGGGAAGUACGUACGCAAGUAUGAAACUUAAAGGAAUUGGCGGGGGAGCACCACAAGGGGUGAAGCCUGCGGUUC